UACGAAGGGGGCUAGCGUUGUUCGGAAUCACUGGGCGUAAAGCGCACGCAGGCGGAUUGAUAAGUCAGGGGUGAAAUCCCGGGGCUCAACCUCGGAAUUGCCUUUGAUACUGUCUGUCUUGAGUUCGGGAGAGGUUGGCGGAAUUCCUAGUGUAGAGGUGAAAUUCGUAGAUAUUAGGAAGAACACCAGUGGCGAAGGCGGCCAACUGGCCAGAUACUGACGCUCAUGUGCGAAAGCGUGGGGAGCAAACAGG
rnacentral:rRNA from 1 species